AACCAACCGGGAUUGCCUCAGUAACGGCGAGUGAAGCGGCAAAAGCUCAAAUUUGAAAUCUGGCACUUUCAGUGUCCGAGUUGUAAUUUGUAGAAGUAGUUUUGGGACUGGUCCUUAUCUAUGUUUCUUGGAACAGGACGUCAUAGAGGGUGAGAACCCCGUAUGAUGAGGCCCCAGUCCUUUGUAAAACGCUUUCGAAGAGUCGAGUUGUUUGGGAAUGCAGCUCUAAGUGGGUGGUAAAUUCCAUCUAAAGCUAAAUAUUGGCGAGAGACCGAUAGCGAACAAGUACAGUGAUGGAAAGAUGAAAAGAACUUUGAAAAGAGAGUGAAAAAGUACGUGAAAUUGUUGAAAGGGAAGGGCAUUUGAUCAGACAUGGUGUUUUGCGCCCUUUGCUCCUUGUGGGCGAGGAUACGCAGCUCACUGGGCCAACAUCAGUUCUGGCGGCAGGAUAAAUCAUUAAGAAUGUAGCUACUUCGGUAGUGUUAUAGCUUUUUGGAAUACUGCCAGUCUGGGUA
rnacentral:rRNA from 1 species